AGUGAACGCUGGCGGUAGGCCUAACACAUGCAAGUCGAACGGCAGCACAGUAAGAGCUUGCUCUUACGGGUGGCGAGUGGCGGACGGGUGAGGAAUACAUCGGAAUCUACUUUUUCGUGGGGGAUAACGUAGGGAAACUUACGCUAAUACCGCAUACGACCUACGGGUGAAAGCAGGGGAUCUUCGGACCUUGCGCGAUUGAAUGAGCCGAUGUCGGAUUAGCUAGUUGGCGGGGUAAAGGCCCACCAAGGCGACGAUCCGUAGCUGGUCUGAGAGGAUGAUCAGCCACACUGGAACUGAGACACGGUCCAGACUCCUACGGGGGGCAGCAGUGGGGAAUAUUGGACAAUGGGCGCAAGCCUGAUCCAGCCAUACCGCGUGGGUGAAGAAGGCCUUCGGGUUGUAAAGUCCUUUUGUUGGGAAAGAAAAGCAGCAGGUUAAUACCCCGCUGUUCUGACGGUACCCAAAGAAUAAGCACCGGCUAACUUCGUG
rnacentral:rRNA from 1 species